CUCUCUAUCUAGCCGAAUCAAGUACAAUUUACAAAAUACUUUUUCGAAAUAACUUUUUGUUCAACAACAAUAGUAGAAAAACUUUCAAAACUAAAACAAUUCAAAAAUGAUUUCAAUGUAUAUCAUAUAUCUUUUAAUCCACAGCCUUAGCGACUAAGGUUACAAUAGCCCUGUAACACGGCCCAAAAUUUCGAGAACGUUAU
rnacentral:lncRNA from 1 species